CUUUUCUCAAAGUCUUAUGAAGUCCAGAGAGCUUAAACAUUUGGACACAUUGAACUGGGGAAGAUUUCCUGCAUUACUGAGUCUGCUCACCCUCCUAUUUUGGGCAACCAGGUCAUAUGAACUCAUGAAUGUUUCAGCAGAACAGCAAGCAAUGAUGCCUCUAUCUUACCAUGGUUUCCUACUAACAGGUGAGCAGUGUAGGAGAGACAUAUGGAGUGUCCUUAGAGGCAGGUUAUUCAUGCCUCUUCUUCAGACUGCUGGCACACUCCCUUCAGUAUGCCUCAUCUCACAAACCUAGGUAAGUAGGAAACCUAACCUGAUUCUAAAUGCAGAUAUUACAGAUGGCAUAUUUGUUUGGAAGAGUCUUUC
rnacentral:lncRNA from 1 species